AUUUUCAUAAAACUAUCGGUACAUAAUUCUUAUAGUGUAAAAGUUAAUUAUAUUCAUAUAUACUAUAAAGCAAAUAACCAAAGCAUAAAAUUUCUUUUACAGUGACACGUGGGCCCACAUUUAUCCAAAAUGCAUCGGAAGCUGGAAACUUACAGCUUUUACCGAUUCGAGUCCAAAUGAAGGUCCUUGUCAAAGUCAGCUAACUAUAGAAUUCCCCGAGCUUG
rnacentral:lncRNA from 1 species